rnacentral:tRNA from 1 species
GCGUUGGUAGUUCAGUGGUAGGAUUCUCGCCUUCCAUAUGGGGGACCCCAGUUUCAAUUCCUGGCCAAUGCA